GACGAACGCUGGCGGCGUGCCUAAUACAUGCAAGUAGAACGCAGUUGCGAACGGGUGAGUAACGCGUAGGUAACUGCCUCAUAGCGGGGGAUAACUAUUGGAACCGAUAGCUAAUACCGCAUACUGUGAGAUUGACCUGCGUUGUAUUAGCUAUUUGGUGAGGUCAAGGCUCACCAAGGCGACGAUACAUAGCCGACCUGAGGGGGUGUGCGGCACAUAGGUGAUUGGGACCCGGCCCAGACUCCUACGGGAGGCAGCAGGAGGGAAUUGUCGGAAAGGGACGGAAGUCUGAGCGCGCAACGCCGGUGGAGGGAAGAAGGUUUUCGUAUCGGAAAGCUAUGUUGGUAGAGAAGCGGUAACUAACCAUAAAGGGACGGCUAACUACGUGCCAGCAGCCGCGGUAAUAC
rnacentral:rRNA from 1 species